UGGCAAAAUGGUUAAAGCUCUCAGCUGCUAACUGAAAGGUCGGUGGUUCGAAUUCACC
rnacentral:tRNA from 1 species